CAACAAAUUUGCAGCUAGCAAUUGUAAAAAGAUAGAAGAGGGCCGAGGAUACAGCUCAGUGGUGUAAGUGCUUGCCUGUCUGGCAAGCACAAGGUCCUGAGUCGAUUCCCGGUACCAAAAAAAAAAUUUAAAAAUGGAAGAAUUAUUUUAUUUCAUUCCACUGUGGAUGUUCUCACUGUGUCUUAAUUCUCUUUGUAGUUGAAACCUGAGGAGAAGAUGUUCUUCAAAAGCCCUGUGGAGACAGCUUUGCAGUAUUUUAGUCAUAUUUCUCAGGUGUGGAGUUUCCAGAAGAAGCAAACAAAUCUCCUCAUUGCCUUUUAUAAGCACAGAAUUACAAAGUUAGAAGCUGCCAUUCAGGAGGCACAGCAAACAGUGGCCAACCAGGACAAAGAGCUGUCAGUCUUGAGAAAAGAAAAUGAAGAAAUGAAGAAACUUAUAGCCUUCCUAAAGGAAUCUCCAAGUCGGUACCAAGGAAGCAGGCUGACUACACCUCGACCAGUGGGCAUUACUUCUCCAUCACAGUCAGUUACGCCGCGACCCAGUUGCCAGCAUAGCAGCCAGGUGGUCAGCCGGUCCUCCUCUGUGGAAUCAAUCCCUUAUAGAGUGCCUGGUUUUGGUACUGUGGGACAAGAAGGCAGAGUCCUGCAGGGAAGGAGCACUCCCAGAGACUCUAGCAUUGAAACUCCUUCACCAGCUUCAACUCACAACCUAUCUUACAGAACUUCAUCUGCCUCCUCUGGGCAGGGGACUUUUUGUUUCAGACCAUUUCUAAAUGGGGAGUCAGGCCACAUAAGAGUCCUCACCCCUAACAAUCCUGGUCAAAGGGGGAGCAGAACACCUCUGGAGAGUUUUUCUGGCUUCCAACUACCAGUCAUGCAGACUCUUUACCAACAGAGGCAGAUGGGAUCAGGUAGGGAGAGAGACGCCUACACCACUCCCAGAUAG
rnacentral:lncRNA from 1 species